AUGCCAAAGCCGUUGACUGUGUGGAUCACAAGAAACUGGAAAAUGCUGAGAGAGAUGGGAAUACCAGACUACCUGACCUGCCUCUUAAGAAAUCUGUAUGCAGGUCAGGAAGCAACAGUUAGAAAUGGACAUGGAACAAUAGACUGGUUCCAAAUAGGAAAAGGAGUACGUCAAGGCUGUAUAUUGUCACCUGGCUUAUUUAACUUAUAUGCAGAGUACAUCAUGAGAAAUGCUGGACUGGAAGAAACACAAGCUGGAAUCAAGAUUGCUGGGAGAAAUAUCAAUAACCUCAGAUAUGCAGAUGACACCACCCUUAUGGCAGAAAGUGAAGAGGAACUCAAAAGCCUCUUGAUGAGAGUGAAAGAGGAGAGUGAAAAAGUUGGCUUAAAGCUCAACAUUCAGAAAAUGAAGAUCAUGGCAUCCGGUCCCAUCACUUCAUGGCAAAUGGAUGGGGAAACAGUGUCAGACUUUGUUUUUUCAGGCUCUAAAAUCACUGCAGAUGGUGACUGCAGCCAUGAAAUUAAAAGACACCUAAGGAAAGUUAUGACCAACCUAGACAGCAUAUUAAAAAGCAGAGGCAUUACUUUGCCGACUAAGGUCCGUCUAAUCAAGGCUAUGAUUUUUCCAGUAGUUAUGUAUGGAUGUGAGAGUUGGACUGUGAAGAAGGCUGAGCGCCGAAGAAUUGAUGCUUUUGAACUGUGGUGUUGGAGAAGACUCUUGAGAGUCCCUUGGACUGCAAGGAGAUCCAACCAGUCCAUUCUGAAGGAGAUCAGCCCUGGGAUUUCUUUGGAAGGAAUGAUGCUAAAGCUGAAACUCCAGUACUUUGGACACCUCAUGAGAAGAGUUGACUCAUUGGAAAAGACCCUGAUGCUGGGAGGGAUUGUGGGCAGGAGGAGAAGGGGACGACAGAGGAUGAGAUGGCUGGAUGGCAUCACUGACUCGAUGGACGUGAGUCUGAGUGAACUCCGGGAGUUGGUGAUGGACAGGGAGGCCUGGCGUGCUGUGAUUCAUGGGGUCGCAGAGUCGGACAUGACUGAGUGA
rnacentral:lncRNA from 1 species